AUUGAACGCUGGCGGCAGGCUUAACACAUGCAAGUCGAACGAGUGGCGGACGGGUGAGUAAUGACUGGGAAUCUAGCUUAUGGAGGGGGAUAACUACGGGAAACUGUAGCUAAUACCGCGUACCAUAGGAUGAGCCCAAGCUGGAUUAGGUAGUUGGUGAGGUAAAGGCUUACCAAGCCGACGAUCUCUAGCUGGUCUGAGAGGAUGACCAGCCACGUUGGAGCUGGGGCAGGGCCCAGGAUCCUUCGAGUGGCAGCAGUGGGGAAUAUUGCGCAAUGGUGGCAACCUGCCGCUGCAAUGCCGCGUUAAUGGAGAAGGCUUUGGGGUUGUGAAGUUCAUGCUGUAGUGAGGCUUUAACUACAGAAGAAGCUCCGGCUGACUCCGUGCCGGCCGCCGCGGUGAUUC
rnacentral:rRNA from 1 species